rnacentral:lncRNA from 1 species
UGCCCUAGCGGUUUAUAAAUAGGGUUAUGGUCCCCAUUCUACGACUAUGCAUUCCAAUUUCUGAAAAUCCUCUCAGAGAGAAAUUGACACAGAAUCUAGUGGCUAGAAUUGGAAGACCAUCUCAAAGGGUUUUCUUCCUAUAAGGUUUCUCCUUCAAUGGAUUCAGGUAUGCUUCCGCUAUUAUUUUUCUACUCAUUGUUUUUAAUCAGGAGAUUCCAGUAUAUGUGAAAUUAGGGUAUUCACCCUGUUAAAUAUUCCAAUAUAUAUGAAAUUAGGGUAUUUACCUUGUUAACUAUUCCAGUAUAUAUGAAAUUAGGGUAUUCAUCUUGGUUGAUUUUAACAAGACUAUUCCAGUAUAUAUGAAAUUAGGGUAUUCAUCUUGGUUGAAUUUUAACAAAAGGGCCAUAACAAGCUCAUGGCCUCCAAGAUCAAACCCAUUUUUAUUUUGGAUGCAUCACCAUCCUAAAGAUGGGGUGGCUCAAGGAAUAAAGAGAUAUGAACUAUCCUAUUUGGAUGAGACUAUUUAUAUUUGUAGUGUCAAUCCUAAAGAUAGAACUCUUCACUUGGUAACAUUGAUGUCAAGGAUCUUAAUUACACAUUAAACUUAGACAUAAACUAGUAUAAUCACCUAAAGUAGUUCUACUUGCAUAGGCUAAGGGCUAAACAAAAGGGUAUGUUGAUCAAUACCUAAUGAUAACUUUUAAAGUUUAAGGCAAGUUGAUAAAGUAAAGAGGGUCUCUAUCUUAGUAAUAGGAGUUAUGAUUUGCUUAAAGUAGACUUGAUUCUUAUGAUAUUAGGAUACCUUUGUAGACUUUUCAUUUUGUCCAUUUAGCACAUGUCCUAUUGAGUGCUCUUUUAGUACUUCACAACAACUCCCUGGUGGCCCAUUGCUACUUAGACAGUCUAUCUUUCUUCGAGUCAUCUUGGAGACUUUGGUUGAGGGAUUUAUCUGGCCCCUCAUUGUGACCUUGGCAGUCCCUAAAGUUUAGUUUAGGUUUUUUUUUUUUUUUUUCACUUAGGUACUUUUCUAGGCUUAGUUUUUUUUAGGAUUAGGUGAGUUUUGAUUUGAUUUUUGAUUUUUGAUUGCAUGAGAUGAUUUUCCAAUCUUUGGUUGUAGGAGUUUGAUAUUUUGAUUUUUAUUAUUAUAUAUUGCAUUAGUUGAAUAUCUUGAUUCUUUCGGCUGCAUACAUGAUAUUUGUAUUUUGGUUUGUUUUAUUUAUUUGUUUAUUCAUUUAUUAUUUUAUUUCUCAAUUACAUGAUUUGAGGAAACGAGCUACCAUCUAUUUGGAAGGAGGAUCACCAAAUUUUUUUUAAAAAGGAAAGUGACAAUUGCAUUUUUUUAAUAAAGAUACAUCCCCAUGCAUAUAAGGAAGACAAGGCUACAAGAAAGGAAAUGUGUUAGAUUAAUGUUUUGUAAUUAAUCUAUAAUUUGGGCCACACAUGUAAAUAAUUAAAAUGUGUGUGCUAUCAUUUAAUUAAGCCUAAAUAUAGUGAUCUAAUUAAUAAUUGAUUAUUUGGCUUAAGGGUAUAAUUGUCAUGAGAUUAUUGUGUAGAUACCAUUAGAUAAUUAUUAUUUCUAUGAGGGGCAGAAAUAUAAUUGUGAUAAAAUUAAAACUGCCCUAGCGGUUUAUAAAUAGGGUUAUGGUCCCCAUUCUAUGACUACGCAUUCCAAUUUCUGAAAAAUCCUCUCAGAGAGAAAUUGACACAGAAUCUAGUGGCUAGAAUUGGAAGACCAUCUCAAAGGGUUUUCUUCCUAUAAGGUUUCUCCUUCAAUGGAUUCAGGUAUGCUUCCGCUAUUAUUUUUCUACUCAUUGUUUUUAAUAAGGAGAUUCCAGUAUAUAUGAAAUUAGGGUAUUCAUCUUGUUUGAUUAUAACAAGUGGUAUCAGAGCCUACUCCUUGAUUAAUUCUUUGAGUUAUUAUUUUAAUAUAUAUAUAUAUAUAUAUAUAUAUAUAUAUAUAUAUAUAUGUCAAUGGAUUAAGAUUUAUGAAAUAUUGAGUUGAUAUAUAUAUUUUUUUAUUCUGCAAUCGGUUUCUAUUGGUUUAUCAAACAAUUUAUCGGCAGAAUAAAUACAAUCGUUUGAUAAACCAAUAAAUCGUUUCAUAAAUCGUUUGACAAACCAGUGGAUCGUUUUGAUAAAGUCAAUAGAAAUCGAUUGUAUUAAUAUAAGAGUAUACAUAGAUACAUUCAUUGGUUAAGAAAAGAGGUGUAGAAAAAUUUGUAUUUGAAGUCAAAAGUAUUACCUUUCCAAUGAUAUAUCUUAGAAAUUUCUUUGGGAAUAGUAGGUGAUGUUUCUGUUAAAGUUUCAAAUAUAUAUAUAUGUAUAUGAGUAUAAAACGCCUUUAUCCUUUGCUGCUGCAGUAUUUAUCAUAUUCUUAUAAUAAUAUAUUAAGUUUUAAUUUUUUUUUUGUAUUAAAUAAAUUUGUUUUUUUUACUAUUAUUAUUAUUAUUAUUAUUAUUAUUUAAUAGCAUUUUAUGAUAUUAAUAUUUAAGUUAUUGAUCUAGCAUUUUAAAUAGGCUAAUUAAAGCGGAAAAUCACCAAAGUGACAUCUUUCGUGUAGAUUAGUCUGUUCGGGGUGUUAGAUAUUUGUGUGUAUGUGAUUCAUGCGGGUAUUGACUGGCCCAAAGGAAAGUUGAUAUUUGGUCAAAUUGCAUACAUACCUGUGGUGAUAAAUAUGUGAUGAUUAUAAAGGUAACUUAAUGUGAAUAAUAAAUCAAUCCAAAGAUAGAUUUAUUAUUUGACAUAACUUAUCAUCAAUGUUUGAUCACUACAACAAGAGUACCACUUACAGUUAAUAUUACUAUCCAAAGACUUGAUAUUAAUGUUGUGCUAGGUAUCUUGAAAUGUCAUAAUUUGCUUUUAAAUUUAAAGAUUAUGUGUUUAAUUGCUUAUUUUAUGUGAGCAUGAUGGUUUAUUUGAUUCAUUUUAUUUUGUUCUCGAUUCAGCUUUUAUAUCAACUACUUCUAUAUCUGCCAACAUCAAUAAUGUCCCUAUGUUAAAUGGGACUAAUUUUAAGGACUAGAAAGAGAAUAUGAUGAUUCUCUUAGACUGCAUGGAUAUAGACUUAGCCUUGAGAAUGCCCAAACCCGAUGAACUCAAUGAGGAAAGUACUCAAGAGCAUGAGGUUUAUUGGGGUAAGUGGGAAUGUUCAAAUAGGCUAAGUCUUAUGAUCAUGAAGCACAGGAUUCCAGAAGCUUUCAGGGGUGCGGUAACCAAUGAGGUUACUAAUGCCAGUGACUUCAUUGCGGAAAUUCAGAAACAUUUUGCCAAAAAUGAUAAGGCUGAAAUGAGCAUGCUUUUAGCAAGCUUGAUUUCAAUGAAGUAUAAAGGCAAAGGUAAUGUUCGGGAGUACAUCAUGGAGAUGUCUCAUCUUGCUUCAAAACUUAAGGCUUUGAAACUCGAGUUAUCUGAUGAUUUACUCGUGCAUUUGGUUCUCAUCUCUCUUCCUGCACAAUUUAAUCAAUUCAAGGUUAGUUAUAACUGUCAAAAUGAUAAAUGGACUCUUAAUGAGCUCAUUUCAUUCUGUGUGCAAGAGGAAGAGAGAUUGAAGCAAGACAAGACCGAAAGUGCUCAUCUGGCUAGCACUUCCAAGGAUAAGGGCAAACGAAAGAAUAAGGAUAAUAAGGUUGCUGCUUCUAAUGGUCCAGAACAAAAGAAACAGAAAGUUGAGGUAACAUGUUUCUUCUGUAAUAAGCUUGGACAUACUAAGAAGGAAUGUACCAAGUAUGCUGCUUGGCGUGUUAAGAAAGGGUUGUCUGAGUUACCGAAAACCAAGUGAUGCUGAAAGAUGCAUCUAUGUCGGAGACGGUCAGUCGAUAGAAGUAGAGGCAAUAGGGCACUUUAGAUUAUUAUUGAAAUCUGGUUAUUUUUUGGAUUUAAUAGAUACUUUUGUUGUACCGUCUUUCAGACGGAAUUUAAUUUCAGUUUCUGUUUUGGACAAAUCAGGUUAUUGUUGUUCAUUUGGAAACAAUAGAUUUACAUUAUCUAUUAUUUCAAAUGUUGUAGGAACCGGUUUACUUAAUGUUUAUGAUAAUCUAUAUUUGUUGGAAACUGUUCCGUCCUAUAAUGAAACCUUGCAUGUGGAAUCACGAGGUACAAAACGUAAAUUGAAUAAAGAUAAUUCGGCCUCAUUGUGGCACAAACGCCUAGGUCAUAUCUCUAAAUCUAGAGUUGAGCGACUUGUGUCCAAUGGGAUUUUGGAUUCACUUGACUUUUCAGAUUUUGAUAUUUAUGUUGAGUAUAUUAAAGGAAAACAUACCAAAACAAAGAAAUUAGGUGCCAAUAGAGCUACAGACGUCUUAGAAUUAAUUCAUACAGAUAUCUGUGGACCAUACCCUACGACAUCUUGGAAUGGUCAACAGUACUUUAUAACAUUCAUAGACGACUAUUCAAGAUAUGGCUACCUAUUUCUUAUACAUUAGAAAUCACAAUCAUUGGACGUGUUCAAAACAUUUAAAGCAGAAGUUGAGUUACAACUCAACAAAAAGAGCGUCAGAUCUGACCGUGGUGGUGAAUACUAUGGUAGAUAUGACGGAUCAGGUGAACAACGUCCAGGACCAUUUGCUAAAUACCUAGAGGAAUGUGGGAUCGUCCCUCAAUACACCAUGCCAGGAUCACCUAGCAUGAAUGGUGUAGCAGAAAGACGAAACCGAACUCUUAAGGACAUGGUAAGGAGUAUGAUUAGUCAUUCUACUUUACCCGAAAAACUCUGGGGUGAAGCACUCAAAACGGCAGCUUAUAUCCUAAAUCGGGUGCCAACUAAAGCGGUUGCUAAAACGCCUUAUGAGCUUUGGACGAGUCGAAAGCCCAAUUUAAAGCAUUUCCAUAUUUGGGGAUGUCCAGCUGAAACGAGACCUUAUAAGCCUCAUGAAAAGAAAUUGGACUCUAAAACAGUUAGCAGCUACUUUAUUGGCUAUGCAGAGCGAUCAAGGGGUUUUAAAUUUUAUGAUCCUGCUAUUAGGUCAAUUUUUGAGACGGGAACUACAACAUUUUUUGAGGAUGUUGAGUUUGAGGGGAGAAAUCAGGCUAGGAAUAUUGUCUUUGAGGAGGAAGAGGGAUCUACUAUUGCUUUUGAUAAUGUAUAGGUUUCACUACCUAUCAUUGAUCAAGAAGUAAAAUUGGAUCCUUAACCAACAGACAAUAUUGUUCAACCCUUAAUUGCAAAUGAGGACAUUGCUCCUGAAGAACAAACUCAACAACCUCAAGAAAAUAUGCCAUUAAGGAGAUCCACUAGAGAGAGGAGAAAUGCAAUUUCGGACGAUUAUAUCGUAUAUCUCCAGGAACGUGAGGUAGAAAAUGGAAUGAUGGAAGAUGAUCCAAUCAACUUCCAGCAAGCCAUGAAAAGUUCCAACUCUCAGAAAUGGAUUGAAGCCAUGAAUGAAGAGUACAAAUCUAUGCAAGACAAUAAAGUUUGGGGACUUGUCCCAUUACCAGUUGGUACGAAGCCCAUUGGUUGUAAAUGGAUAUUUAAAACCAAGCGGGAUUCAAAUGGUAAUGUAGAAAGAUAUAAAGCACGUCUUAUAGCUAAAGGCUUUACUCAAAAAGAAGGAAUUGACUUCAAAGAGACCUUCUCUCCAAUUUCUAUGAAGGACUCUUUCAGGAUAAUCAUGGCACUAGUUGCACAUUAUGAUAUUGAGUUACAUCAAAUGGAUGUUAAAACAGCGUUUCUCAAUGGUGACAUUGAUGAAACAAUUUAUAUGGUACAACCAGAAAAUUUUGUGUCCGAAGACUCAAAGAAUAUGGUUUGUAAAUUAACUAAACCCAUUUAUGGGCUCAAGCAAGCUUCUCGUCAGUGGUACUUCAAGUUUCAUCAAAUUAUUGUCUCAUAUGGUUUUGAGGCAAAUCUUAUGGAUGAAUGUGUGUAUCACAAAUUCAGUGGGAGUAAGUAUAUUUUCCUGGUUUUAUAUGUCGAUGACAUAUUGCUAGCCACAAAUGAUAUUAGCAUAUUGCAUAACACCAAGAGAUUUUUAUCAAAACAUUUUGAGAUGAAAGAUCUUGGUGAUGCCUCCUUUGUCUUAGGAAUCCAGAUACACCGAGAUCGUUCUAGGGGUAUUUUAGGAUUGUCACAAAGGACCUAUAUUGAUAAAGUCCUCCAAAGGUAUGGCAUGCAAAAUAGCAAACCAGGUGAUACCCUUGUCGCUAAAGGAGACAAAUUCAGUCUUAAUCAAUGCCCUAAAAAUAGUUUAGAAAGUCAAUAAAUGCAGAAGAUUCCUUACGCUUCGGCUAUGGGGAGUCUAAUGUAUGCUCAGGUAUAUACACGUCCGGAUAUUGUGUACAUUGUUGGCAUGUUAGGCAAAUAUCUAAGUAACCCUGAAAUGGAUCAUUGGAGAGCAGACAAGAGGGUUAUGAGAUAUUUACAGAGAACAAAAGAGUACAUGCUUACAUAUAGGAGAUUGGAUCAAUUAGAGUUCAUUGGGUAUUCUGACUCCGACUUUGCUGGAUGCCAAGAUAGCAGAAGAUCCACAUCAGGCUAUAUUUAUCUGUUGGCUAGUGGAGCAAUUUCAUGGAGGUCUGCCAAACAGACACUCAUAACUUCAUCCACCAUGGAAGCAGAGUUUGUAGCAUGUUAUGAGGCAUCCAAUCAAGGAAUAUGGCUAUGAAAUUUUGUCACUGGGCUGCGUGUUCUGGAUGGUAUUGAAAGACCACUGAAGAUAUUUUGUGACAAUAAAUCAACAGUUUUAUAUUCCAAUAACAACAGGAGUUCUACAAAAUCAAAAUACAUUGAUAUCAAGUUCCUAGUUGUAAAAGAAAAAGUACAGAGUGGACAGAUAUCCAUAGAGCAUAUUGUAACAAACUCCAUGAUAGCGGAUCCGCUUACAAAGGGAUUACCACCCAAGGUCUUUCAUGAGCACACUGCUCAUAUGAGUGUUGUCUCAUUUGAGGAUAUCCAAAUUUAGUGGGAGUUUAUAUUAUUCAUUGUAUAUUGCUCUAUGUUAUGUUUAGACUUUAUCUAUACAUUUGGAUUGUGUUCUGCAGAAAUAAAGUAUUCAUUUUAUUGCACUCUGUUAAAUUAUCUAAAGAUUUGAUCUCAAUAAAGUUAAGUAGGACCAGUUGGAAAUAGGCAUGAAUAGAUCACAUUGCAUGUAAUUUCCAUGCUAUGCACUCAUGAUUGAUCUAUGUCAUUUAGCUGUGCAGAUAUAUGUGACCAUUGAUUGGUCUAGUAACGAUUGAUGUAACAAAGGCCACCUUGAUCCUAUGUCAGUAUAGUUAAUGGACGAGAUUGUUCGGAUAUACCCUAAGGACAUGAUAGCAAAUUUUGAGCUCAUAAGGUUAAGCACAUUUAUUUGAUUACAUAUGCAUGUGGCCCAGUGGGAGAUUGUUAGAUUAAUGUUUUGUAAUUAAUCUAUAAUUUGGGCCACACAUGUAAAUAAUUAAAAUGUGUGUGCUAUCAUUUAAUUAAGCCUAAAUAUAGUGAUCUAAUUAAUAAUUGAUUAAUUGGCUUAAGGGUAUAAUUGUCAUGAGAUUAUUGUGUAGAUACCAUUAGAUAAUUAUUAUUUCUAUGAGGGGCAGAAAUAUAAUUGUGAUAAAAUUAAAACUGCCCUAGCGGUUUAUAAAUAGGGUUAUGGUCCCCAUUCUACGACUACGCAUUCCAAUUUCUGAAAAAUCCUCUCAGAGAGAAAUUGACACAGAAUCUAGUGGCUAGAAUUGGAAGACCAUCUCAAAGGGUUUUCUUCCUAUAAGGUUUCUCCUUCAAUGGAUUCAGGUAUGCUUCCGCUAUUAUUUUUCUACUCAUUGUUUUUAAUCAGGAGAUUCCAGUAUAUAUGAAAUUAGG